GGGGGGGGGGACACAUUUUACAACUUUGGAAGUGUCUCUCGCGCAAACUAUUCAGUUUAGAAGAAAUACAAGUGUGAUGAAAAUGAUAUUAGAAACCUCAAUAUCAUUUUUGAAGACCUAUCCAUAAAUACCCCACACGUAUGGGUUUGUUGAAAAAAAUUUUUUUGAGUUUCAGUUCUAUGUAUGGGGAACCCUAAAAAUUUAUUGUUUAUUUUCUAUUUUUGUAUGAAAAUCUUAAUGCGGUUCAUAGAAUACAUCUACUUACCAAGUUUCAACA